ACAUCCAGAGAAUUUAGCAGAGAUGCUUAGUGCCUUCGGGAACUCUGAGACAGGUGCUGCAUGGCUGUCGUCAGCUCGUGUUGUGAAAUGUUGGGUUAAGUCCCGNAACGAGCGCAACCCUUAUCCUUUGUUGCCAGCACGUAAUGGUGGGAACUCAAAGGAGACUGCCGGUGAUAAACCGGAGGAAGGUGGGGAUGACGUCAAGUCAUCAUGGCCCUUACGAGUAGGGCUACACACGUGCUACAAUGGCGCAUACAAAGAGAAGCGACCUCGCGAGAGCAAGCGGACCUCAUAAAGUGCGUCGUAGUCCGGAUUGGAGUCUGCAACUCGACUCCAUGAAGUCGGAAUCGCUAGUAAUCGUAAAUCAGAAUGUUACGGUGAAUACGUUCCCGGGCCUUGUACACACCGCCCGUCACACCAUGGGAGUGGGUUGCAAAAGAAGUAGAUAGCUUAACCUUCGGGAGGGCGUUUACCACUUUGUGAUUCAUGACUGGGGUGAAGUCGUAACAAGGUAGGCGUAGUGCU
rnacentral:rRNA from 1 species